rnacentral:rRNA from 1 species
CACGAACCGUCCAAACGUUAUUCGGUAUCACUGGGCUUAAAGCGUGCGUAGGCGGCCUGGAAGGUGAGAUGUGAAAUCCCACGGCUCAACCGUGGAAUUGCGUUUCAAACCACCAGGCUCGAGGAAGACAGGGGUGAUGGGAACUUAUGGUGGAGCGGUGAAAUGCGUUGAUAUCAUAGGGAACACCGGUGGCGAAAGCGCAUCACUGGGUCUUAACUGACGCUGAGGCACGAAAGCUAGGGUAGCGAACGGG